ACGCUCGACACCUACGGGAGACAGCAGUGGGGAAUAUUGCACAAUGGGGGAAACCCUGAUGCAGCGACGCCGCGUGAGUGAAGAAGUAAUUCGUUAUGUAAAGCUCUAUCAGCAGGGAAGAAAGUGACGGUACCUGAGUAAGAAGCCCCGGCUAACUACGUGCCAGCAGCCGCGGUAAUCUGAGCGGGCGUGGCGAAGGC
rnacentral:rRNA from 1 species